rnacentral:misc_RNA from 1 species
AAGUCGUAACAAGGUUUCCGUAGGUGAACCUGCGGAAGGAUCAUUAACACGUUGCAAAACGUUAUCAACCAACCGCGAACUGUGACGUCUUACAUGUGCUGGGAUUGUUGUUGGAUUUCAAGGCUUUCGGGCUUUGACUUCUAGCUCUUUCCUAGUUUCACAUGAUUUAUUAACCCAAACCCAAUUGUUAUCAACCUAUUUCUGUCUUAAAGGACUUUGCCGUUCAUCGGUAUCGUCUUUUAUUACAAAUCAUGUACAACUCUGAGCAACGGAUAUCUUGGUUUCC